CGGCGCGCUCGCCCCCCCAGCGGCAGCGGCGGGGAGCGCGGCGCAGCCCGGCGGCCUCUGCGCCUCCCGCUGCCGAGCGGCUAUUUUUAGUCAAUCCUCCUCGUGUCGCCGCGGGCUGCGCUCGCAGCGCCCAGCCCUCGCCAGCUGCCACCGCCGCCCCGCCACACGCUCCCCCCGCCCCGCCCGCCACCCCUCUGCCGCCGGGGCCGCGGCCCCCCAGCCCCGCGGCGGCGGUAGCCGCAGCGACCGCGGCAACUUUUCCUCCCCUCCCCUCCCCUCCCCUCCCCUCGCCGUCCCCGUCCCCUCCCACUCCCCUGGAAGAUGGCAGUUGGGGGAAGGACUGGAAGUUACAGCCCGCGAGCCAAGAGAUAAGGAAGCGCCGCGGGAAGGGGUGAAUGGAAAUAACUGAGAUUUCAGAAGCUCAUGUUUGAGACCUGCGUUCAACAGUCCGCAGGAAUGUACCAAUUCAAGACCAUUGAAGCACAAUGUAAGAGCUCUCUUUCAUUUCAUCACAGAUUCACCCCACUUCAGGCAGAACCUCGAAAUCUGAACAACUUCUGCUGAGAUUUGGCUUUGCACUGUAAACAACCUAUCAUUCUAUCAACAGCAAUGAGCUCCACAACACAGCCAGUAAUAGCUUUCAGCUUGUUGUCCUUCAGAUUCCCUGCAGCAGCAUCUUUAUAAUUUUAAUGGUAUGUAUAAUCAGUCCUUCAUUACAAGAAAGCUCUUCGGCAAGUGCAAUGACAUCUGCACAUUACCAGGAAUGAGCACCAAGCAAAUUUGGAAUGAAAGGCAACUUCAUGUCCUACCACACAUCAGUGAUCCCGGCUUGUUCUCAGGAUUUGCUUUGCUGUUUAAAUUUUCAGCAACAAGUUCUUAACACUCUUGACUCCUAGUUUCCUCAUGCCCAUACACAAACAACUGUUGCUGUUUCCCAUCUCAAUGCUGUGAUCUUAAAUGGGCUGUGAACUAAUUCUUAGCUAUAUUGUCAGGUUAUUUUCCACCUUGUUCUCAAUGACAAUGAAAUUUCUAAAUGGUGGGCUGCAAUAUUGGGAGACCAAAAGAAAGAGAAUGAUGAUCAUCAAGGUUUCUGCUCUGUCUUGCAAUGACCAAGAAUUUUGCCCAUUCCUACAGAAGAGGUUGUGAAUCUCACCUGCACAUCUGCUGAUCCAUCCAAUAUGGAUGAUUUUUGCUGAGACCAUGCUGCCCGCUAUUCCAGUGUCUGCUUAAAUGAUGUUCUCCAUUAGAAGCUAUUAUAAUAAGUGAGAAAGAAAAAGACGUGUCCUAAGUUUAUGCUGGGCUUUUGAUGGAUGAAUUCGCAGACCCAGUGGGGAUAGCUGCAAGUCUCCUUGUCUGCUCUCUGCUUCUUCAGAGCACUUUUCUGGCUGCUCAAGAAGCUGCAGGCUGUGAUCUGUCUCCAAUAAAUGGAGGGUCAUGAUUCUCACCUUGAGUAAAGUCCCUUUGAAAUAAGCUAAAAUAAAUAUCCUUAAGACACAGCUGACAUUCAGUUGUCACCGAAGUAGGCUCAGUGAUCUGAACAUGUAUUUUUCUUUUAGAUAUUGUGGCUUUUCCACUGGUUAGGAAGCAGAACAAGUCUGACCAGUACAAACUUUGUCUGUUUCCUAAGUCAGAAAAAUGAAUUAAAACACUCCCCGCCAGCCAAAAAAAAAAAGGUGAAAUUAAGAUACAUAGAACACAAUUCGUCUCACUUCAAUCUAUCUAAAAAUUAGGUGUCUACUCUAGGAUAGUCUGUUUCCCUCCCUAGUCAAUUGGAAUAGGUGGUCUGGAUCACACUCUGAGCGUGCCCACCUUAGGUGCCUUUCUGCAAACUGUGGUGGAGGUGCACAAUCCCUUUUGUGUUCAGCCUGUUAGAAUAUAGUGUUUAUGUGUAUUUCUCUGGUAAUGUCAGUUGUUCCCUGCUUUUGCAGCACAGCAGUUGUGUUAUGCUAUGCUUUCUUCCUCUGAAUUUUGUGACAGUAUGCAGUUCUUUGUUAGCUGCACAAGAGUCCUCUGGACAGGAACUCUAGGCAUCAGCAUUUUAAUUCUAUACAAUUUGUUAGAAAACAUUGGACUUAAAAUGGAGAAAGUAAAGAAAUUCCAAGCAUUCACUGUAUCAUUGCUAGAUCUUUAACAAGAGUUUUCAAGAACAUAGAGCUGUGGUCUACUGAGAAAAAGACUGAAGGAUCUUUGUAUCAUAGUGUUUUUGUCAGCAAAUACUUUGGGCAGAGGAAUCCUUUGCAGGGAUAUGGCUAUUACAGAAAUGUUAAUUCAGUGUCAUGGAGUCUCAAGAUUUUCACAAUAAACUCAUGUCUGGCAUGCCUAUUUAUACCUUUAGAAAACCAGGCUUAAAAGGCUGCCUAUGUUUUGAUACCUCUAGGCAGUUAUGUAUUUUACUUACACUAAAUGUUAGGACAAUGUUGGAUAAAGCCAUUGACAUUCUGACAAUCUUGGAAGGGGAGAGCUCUUAUGAAAUUUAAUAUCCUCACCCAAGAACAGGAAAAAUAAUCUUGCAGGUUUCAGGAGAUGGAUGGCUGUAUACAUUCUUUUAUUUUUCUACAUCAAACUCAACAGUCUUAACUGUCAUUAAUCAUUUCAGAAUCUCUGCAUUACUAUUUUUAGGAGCAUAAAGAGUUUCAGUAUUAUAUAUAACAUGAUCUGUGCUAGAAAGAGGUCAAAUAAAUUGUCUGCAGUAGAGGUUUGCUGCUAGAAAUAUAUUGGUAUAAAGUCCCAAGUAACUUUAUAGCACAAGACUACUGGGUGGGUGUACUGUAAUUUACUAAAUUACAACAGAUUUAAGCUGCUGGAACAUUUUUAUUAAUACUCGUAUUUGUUUUUACAAUCCAGUUACCUCAGAACACAGCAGUUUAUUCAAAACAGGUAUCUUGGAUUUCAUUUCUAAAAAUAUUUUCAUAUUUUUAAUGAACAUUUAAAGCCCAAAAGCUCUGUGUGCUAAAAACAAAACAUAGACAUUUUAUGUCUUUCUCACUUUUUGUCACAUAUUAAGACUGCACUUAUUGUGCCAGAUCACCAAAUGGAGGCAGUUCUGAUUAGGAGCUGGGGGACCAAGUGCUUCUGCGUCUGGUCUUUGCAGGACCAUGUAGAAGCCAUGAGGAACUCAGGUGAUGCCCCAUAUUUGCAUGCAGAUAUGUGUGCUUCACUUAGCAAAUGUCCAUCAGCCAGAGUAACAAAUACAGAGCUGUUGCUUUUAUGAAAUUACUGAAGAGUACCGUGUAUUUGGAAAGUUACCCAAUACAUAUAAUGUGGGUAGGACUAAGUGUGUCCUAAUAGUGUCUUAAGGCCGAGGUCAGGCUGGCAAAAACAUCAGUGAAGGCUUAAGUUUGAGGAUAAAGGCAUCUUUGAGAUACAGAUGUUUACUGCAGAAAACCUGGUUUUACCCAAAACUUUAGAAGUUUACUGCAUCUCUAGGUACUUUUUAUGCAGUUUAAUAGUCAGCAAAUACAAAAACAUCUAGUCAAAGUGCAAAAGAUGCAAGCUGAAUUUCUGGCUUGCUAACAGAUCUGUUUCGGGUUUUGGAUCAACCCAGUUGGCCAGCUUAAUGUCUCUUUUUUAAUCAUCUAAUGUGUUCUUCUGAUCCUGCUACAUCUACUGUAUUGACAUGAGAGGCAGCAGAGUGUACUUUACCUCGGUGGAGCUGGAUUCAGACUCAUGUCUAUGACAGCUGAAUACGCUACAAGAUUAAGAAAAAAAAUGAAAAUGUUGCUAAUCUAACCAAGUUAUGCAUGUUAUCCUUACUAUAUGGAUGGUCGUUAUGCAAGUGCAAGCAGAUGCACAUAUUUUAUUUUAUCAAGUAUAUCAAAGGUGUUUUCUCCUUGAGCACUGUCCUUGGAGAGUCUGUAUCUUUUCGCUAGCAUAAGGAAAAGCAGAACAGUACAGUGAAAAGUUGGCAAACACAGUUGCAUAUGGAUAUAGACAGAGCUUUAAAAUACCCUGUGUGUUGAAAGAGCAUUUUCUCGGCCAGUUUGUUUUCAUAAUUACUGUGUAAAACAUAUCUAAAGGCAAAGUAAAAUCUAUUUUUAAAGGCAGCCUAUACACACUUGGACUAUGACGCUGUUAGAUCUUAUAAGUGAGUUUGGGUUGGGGUUGUGCACCCACCCAGGUACUGAGUCAGUAAUUGUCAUUUUUCUAGAAGAUGAUAUUUUUCUCUUUGAGUCAUCACUAAAGCAGUGUUUGAUCACAACACUGUGGCUGCAGUUCUUUUCGAGAUACUUUCAGCUAUGUUGUAAAACAAGGUGAUAAAUAUUUGGGACAGUUAAAUGAUCUCAGGAACUGAAAUACUGACAUCAUAAAGUCAAUGGCAAUAAAGUCAUUGAUUGUAAUGGGGCCACAGUCUGAAUCAUCAUCCCAGGACUUUGCUUAGGAGCCAUGACAUUUAACCCUGCUUCCUACACAGCUACCAAGAAGGAAAGGAGUCUGUAAUUCCUUGUUAAUUGUUUGGAGUACGGUUCAGAUGUUCAUGGCUUGAGGAACACCAUAGGUGGGUGUUUUAGGGAUUGUGUAGCGGCCUCUAUAUUCUUGUGCUUUGAGAUCUUUGGCUAAAACGUCUCACAAGUAGAGGAAGCAAGCUGUUCAUUGUUCCCAAUAUUGUUAGCAGCCUAUUAACUGCUGUAUGUGUACAUUAACAUAUAUAAAUAGCAUUUUAGCAUUUUAGACCAAUGUGAAUUUAUGCCCUCCCCCCCCUAUUGGAAUCUCAUGUAUUACUGCUUUCAAGCUCAGAUAUUUUCAAUGGAAAAAUAAUUAAAAGUGCAUCACCUAACUCCACAGAAACUCAUGCUGCUAGAAGGUUAAUGAUACUGAGAAUUCUAAAAACAAUAGCAAAAAUCUUGCCAUUGCCUUUAUUUACCACCCUGGUCUUUAUUUCAUGUGUAUGCUUUAUGAAUCUGCAAAUUAUUGCCUUUAUUGAAAGGUUUGUGUGUUAUUCAAGAUGACUUGUAAACUUGACUCAAUCUUCCCUAGCAAGGGAAACAGGAAAUACCAGAGAACACUAGACUCAGUAAACCCAUAAAAUUUGAGAAUGCAGCCCAUUAUUUCUAGAGACUUUUCACAUAACACUUCUGGGAAGCAAUGACUAAUUAGUUUUUGGCUUUAACAAUAACAGUUUCAGGGGGGUUUUUUUGUUUUGUUUUUAUAGCUUUCAUAUUAGGUAGAGGAGGGAAAGUGACUCUGAAUGAUGAAAUAUUGGCAGCAUAUACACUUGCUUCUCAGUAGGAGCUCAGCUCUUUGAUCCCUAGUACAAUUACAUUCAUUGCCCAGGCUUUAUUGCCAUGCUGGAGAGUUAACAAGCAGCCUCUACAGUCACGACAGCAUCCUAAUAGAUUUUUGUUCAAUAGGUAAUUGAAUAUUUAAAAUUAAUGUCUGAGAUUCUCUGGAUUCUUUGCAAUAAUUAAAUGCUCACAACAUUUUUCUCGAUUACUUCACACCAGUAAAUAGAAUAUUCAUUUGCUAUCUCAUACAUUCAAACAGUGCUUCUAAGUGCUUUACUGUAACUGGGGCAACAUUUUUGUUAUUGCUCUUGCCUGAAUAUUUUGAGUGUUAUUUUCUGGAUUUGUAACAGGGCAAGGUUCAAAUGGCAGAAAGUGCCAUAGCUUCUCUGAUGAAAAUUGAAAUCUGUACUCAGUUUGAGUUCUUACCAUAUGAAUGGACUUACUAUCAAGUUUGUACUAUAGAAUUAAAAGUUGAAAAUACGAUGGAGCCAUAUGUUGCUCAUUUUCUCUUUUGUUAUCCACUGCAUUUAUGACCUCAUUCAUUAACGAUCCUUCAAGAUUCUAGCUGAUAUUUGAGCUAAUUAUGCAUAAUACAUAUUGCGUAGAGAACUUUAUAAAAGGAAGCUGGGGAAGACACUAUCAUCCAGUGAUUAGAACAGGAGACUGGAAAUCAGAAUGACCUGGUUUCAUUUGCAUUUCCUCUUCAUUUGCUAAGCGGCCUUGAACAAGUCAUUCUGCCCUUCCAUACUUUUCAGUCUUUUCCUUCCCCUUCAUCUAUCUUUUCUUUUUAGAUUCAGAGUCUGACUUUUUAUAUGUGAAAGGUAUAUUACCUAGCACAAAAGAAUCAGCUUUUAGUAGCAGCACAGAGAGCAGAGGUCAGGCUGUAGUCAAUAUGCAGAUUUUUUAAUGUAGUUGCAUGUUCCUGAAUAUGCUAAAAAUUUUGGUGAUUUUUAUUUCUAUUUCCAGCUCUUAAUAGGAUAGUGUGAAACGUGGUCAUGUGCCAAAAUACCAGUAAUUACCUAUGAACCUGAAGGGAUCAUAUUUGGCAAGAAAUGUGUGUCUUUCAUCAUGUUAGGCCAUACAGGAUAAGGUGCUACAAUUUAGGCCGUGAGCUAUAAUUUGUGUCAUAAGUAGGAAUCCAAACAAAUAUCUUUGUGAUAGUAGGUUUUCAUAUCAUCCUAAACCCCUAACCCUUUCUUGUUUUCAUUUUCAGCAGGUCUCACAGAAAUAAGCUUCUCUGCUGAUGGUUUUCAUUUUCAGGAUUAACUGGCAUUUUGAUAAGUGCUGCUUCUCUAUGUUCUCCAAAUUAUCACAGCAUGAUUAUCAUAGCUUUCACAAAUAUAUAUGUAUUUAUGUUUGUAUGAAAAAGAAUACAAUUCUAUUAAAAAGCUAUCCAAGAUAAACCAA